UAUUUUCCUUGGUUACUUAUGGUUAGGGCUGCAUCUAUAUUCGCUUAUUUCCUGCCAGUUGCCAUUCUGAUAAUGAAAACAAAGCUGAGGUGGGACAAAUUCUGCAGAAUACAUUGAUGCCAGUAUGGAGCACUGUCAUGUACCCGGCUCUGAAGGACGAGAGCGUGACCAAGGGUGGUCUUUCCGUCCAUUUCCAGGUGACCUGGACACCCGUCCCCAGAGGAUUGGCAAGAUAGAAAGAGAUGUUGGACCUUAUUUUCAGAUCACAGAUAACACAAGACGUCGCUCCAAACACUUUUCCAAGGACUGCACUGUAAGAUCGUUCAUCGGUCUGAACAAACUGAAUGUGAAUGGUAACUUUAAUGUGGAAGAGGAAGAAGUGGACAUUUCAAAUCUGUAUGUGGAAGAAAGGUGCGUUACCAGGUGUGGGACUGCUACUAGUGAUUGCACUCAUCAACAAAUUUAUCACUUAUUACCUUGAUUAAUUGCGUGUCUUAUUUGUAAAAUGUGAAUAAAAUAAUGGUCUAAGCUUAUCACA